ACCAUGCAGACAGAGUCAAGAAACUUCACCAAGAUCAAGGUGACCUGGAUUCAAGAACAACAGUUGGUUUUCGGAAUGAUGUGUCAGAUGUGGAGAGACAGAAGGGCAAGCAGGGGCCGUUGCAGUAGCAAGCACUAACAUGACUGCAGAAUUCUUCAAAACUGAAAAACAUCAAAAGUAACAAGAUGUGAUGGGAGCCACUUGGACAGUGAACAUAAAUGUUGCAAUGGAAAAGGAAACCUAGCCUUCUAGCUGAAAAACAACUAUUCCCCAAUGGACUCUAGAAGAAUCUGGACUGGCCACUAAAAAGACAAAAAUAAGCUUAAAAGUUUUAACACAUGAAGCUCAAAGAGAGACCCAUGAUAUGGAAUUUAAAUUGUCUUUUCUGAUUCCUGAAAACCACACAUGCUGUUUCCUUGUUGUUUAAGACAUAUCUAUUUAAUGUGCAUAUUUUAUGUCUCUUACUUUUGCUAUCAAUAAUUAGCAAAUGGAAAUAAUUUUACACUUCAAUUAUUGAGUAAAAUCCUAUUUUAAAUGUUUAAACUCUCACUGAAUUUUCACCUUUUUCCUAUCAAAUUUCUUUUUAUUUUUCUAGUGUUAUCAUUGUUUCUGCUAAGACUCAAGGAAAAUUAAUUACAUCUGAGAGUGACUUAAAGUGCCCAAGUUUCUUCUCUGGCUCCCUGGGAACUGUGAAAUGAGUUUGACCUCACAGUUUUAAUUUGUUUUAUAAAUAUACUGUAAAUAAAUGCCAAGUCUCAAUGGCCAAAGCCAUUAUGAGUCAUAGAACCUUUUCUGACCUCCUUCUUCUAAUUCUAAAAGGCAGAGUUCUUGACUGAAGUAUCACCCAGGUUCUGAUAACUUAUUAUCAGAUAAAUAUCCACCUUUUAUUUUAUGUACUAUAUUUUCCACAAUGCUUUGAAUGAAUGAUUAUUAGAAUUGUAGCAAACCAUUUAGCUAUCCAUAAUAUUUGAUGAAAAGAAAAAGGCAAUAUAAUUGUAAAAAGUCAUAUAAAUAUAGUUGACAGAAGCCAAAAUGAUUCUUAAUGACUAGAUAAUAGAAUAGUACAUACAGUUGUAUGCCUGUAAAAUUAAGGGCAAACACAUUUUUUAUAAGUUUUCUUAUUAUGUGUUAAAUGCACAAGAAUAAUACUACUUUCUCUCUAGCAGCAUGAAGAGAUUGAGGAUUUUUCUAGUUAGGUUACAUAGAGAAUAGUGAGAAGUCAGGUUUUGUUCAUACAUCCGACUUCUUACAGUGCUUGAUUCUGAUCUCAUAAUUAAUUUAUAAAUUGGGAGAACUUAUUUGAUGAUUUAGUACUUAAGGGUCUCUAAAGAUAAUAAAUCAUGAGGUAAUAUUCAUUAUAUAAAUAAUCUCAGCUAGAAAUCUUUCAUAUAAUGUGUAUGUUCUGAUUUCUUGCCUUCUCUCAUUUUUUUCUCUUUAAGUAAUAACAAAUGUUAUCAGUGCUUUGAAGAUUGCUUAAUGACUUCACUGUCAUAAUAUUGUGUGUUGUCUAUAAUUUCUAAAAUUUUGGGAGGUUGUUUCACUUUUAUCUGUUUCUUUCCAGUUUGAGCAGGAAAAUUUAAAAGUUUAUGUCUCUGUAUUUGAGUAUUUGAAUGCCAUAGAGAAUCAUGACCCAGUCACACAGCCUGGGAAAGACAUACUAUGAAAGAUCUGGAAAAAAUAAAAUUUGUCAUUUUUCAGCUAACUGUGAGCACUGAAUAUUUUUAGUUUGGUAUAUGAGCACAAUUGAAUUUGUACUUUUUUUGUAAGUCCAUGUCUUUGACUAACAUAGGAAACUAUACUAUCUUUCUUUGGCUGCGAAUCAUCAAGGACUUCCUACUGGAAAUCAUGUCUAACAUUUCUAACUUAAUGUAAGUCCCUUUGCAUACUCUUCUUCUAGUUGUCUUGGUAUUAAAAAUGUAAUAAACUUUAUGACCUGUCCAAGGUCUUGAAAAUUUGGAAAUAAAAUUUCUAUUUUUUACCUGUA